AACGUUCGAAGUGCCCAAGCCCACUGGCGCCGCCACAGGUUCCUCGACAUUCUGCGCAGCAGGCGGAGUUCCAAAGAUCGUCAAAGACACUCCCAAGAAUGCCUUCGCCAAGUUCCAGCAAAUGGACCAGGCUACCAAGCCGGCAAGGCCCAGCUUUAGCGUUCCAGUUCGCGGAGGACCUACACGGAGUGCGAGCGACAUCAAGGAGAUGCUCCUGAACUGGUGUAAAAGCAAGACCAAAGGAUACGAGCACGUGGACAUCCAGAACUUCUCGACGAGCUGGAACGAUGGCAUGGCGUUCUGCGCGCUCAUCCACCACUUCUACCCGGACGCCUUCGACUACGAGCAGCUGGAGCCCAAGAACCGAAGGCACAACUUCGACCUCGCCUUCCGCACGGCCGAGGAGCAAGCGGGCAUCUCGCCGUUGCUCGACACGGAGGACAUGGUGCUGAUGAAGAAGCCCGACUGGAAGUGCGUCUUCACCUACGUGCAGAGCCUGUACCGCAACCUCGUCAACAAGGACUGAUCCCCCGUCGUAGAGAACCGACAACUCACACAUAUCUAGUCUCUCUAACGUUUACUUUUAUCGUUGUAUUUUUCAAUUGUGAAGAAAGAAAGAAAAAAUGAAUACACUGCGCGUUCACGAGUGCACACAACACCCCUCGCAUUUCCUCGAUACGCAAUAAUAUUGUGUGUUUCUUACGAAGGGCUUCCUUCACUCGAGAGAUGGGCAUUUCUUUCGUUUGUAUAAACACGAGACUUUUAUACUUGUCUUGCGAUGUUUGCUGUAGGAUAGUGUACUGAUGAACAGCGGAGACAGCCGGGGCCUUGGAUGAAGAACUGCAUUUGGAAUGCAAGAUAUGCAAAAUGACUUUGCCGUAGUUGUUCCUUGGCUUGUCGGCUCAUAGUUGAGAGCGAAGCGAGUAGCAUGAACUAUAGCCGAUACAGAGAAGAGGCGCGUUAUUUCUCAACAAACAGUAGCGUUUCUUGUGCCCAUAGCUUAUACGGUAUAGUUUCUUCUGCGCAACAUCUUCUGCGCUUACUGCCACGUGUAAAGAUAGAUCAACGUUAAUUAGUCUCACUGAAUUAAGCUGGACGGGCAGAGAUCGAUGAAGAGAAAAUAAAGAUUAAGUAUCCUUUCAUGCUAUCCUGCACCGGGGUGGGGAAAUUAGGGUUCGAAAUAAGGUCAUUAUACAUAUAUAACACAAUGGAAGGGCGUUCCAAUUACACUCCUUCACAAAGGCCCGUGGAUCGCAAGAAGCGCAGAUAGCUCGUACACGGUCAUUUUCUGCCACGUUAAGUCGUGUCGGUGCCGUGGGAUUCUUUAUCGCGUGAAUAAUGCAAAACUUAUUCCUUGAAUUUCCUUCGCGGUGGUCGCAAGAGAGUCUUUUGGAAUUCAAUGUAGAUUGUGAGUACAAUGUGGCUUGUGAUUAUGCAGACAGAUAGAUAUAAUUGAGCUUGACAUUUAUUUCUUUUCUUUUUUUAUCAGUCCCCUUUUAUUCCGCAAUUUUGUGUGUUUGCUGUACCAUCCUCUGUGUCAUACAGGUGUUUCAGUGCUCGCCGUCGCAAUUAGCCUGUAUACUCCAAAGAACAUACUAUUGAAGACCCUCACGCUUUUUGUGUCGCGCCCUCAUCCGGUGUAUAGUGAGAUCUUUUGUAAGCUGAAUAAAAAUGAUAUGCAAGACAAACAA
rnacentral:misc_RNA from 1 species